rnacentral:rRNA from 1 species
AGUGAACGCUGGCGGUAGGCCUAACACAUGCAAGUCGAACGGAAGCACAGUAAGAGCUUGCUCUUACGGGUGGCGAGUGGCGGACGGGUGAGGAAUACAUCGGAAUCUACUUUUUCGUGGGGGAUAACGUAGGGAAACUUACGCUAAUACCGCAUACGACCUACGGGUGAAAGCAGGGGAUCUUCGGACCUUGCGCGAUUGAAUGAGCCGAUGUCGGAUUAGCUAGUUGGCGGGGUAAAGGCUCACCAAGGCGACGAUCCGUAGCUGGUCUGAGAGGAUGAUCAGCCACACUGGAACUGAGACACGGUCCAGACUCCUACGGGAGGCAGCAGUGGGGAAUAUUGGACAAUGGGCGCAAGCCUGAUCCAGCCAUACCGCGUGGGUGAAGAAGGCCUUCGGGUUGUAAAGCCCUUUUGUUGGGAAAGAAAAGCAGCAGGUUAAUACCCCGCUGUUCUGACGGUACCCAAAGAAUAAGCACCGGCUAACUUCGUG